rnacentral:lncRNA from 1 species
UCUCUUCCAUUAAAUAGAAAAGAUGAGUGUAUCCAAAUUAUUAUGCAACAGAUCAGAGAAUUAUUAAUAAUGACAAAGAAAGAAAAGAGAAACAAAUUCUGGAAAAAAAAAAUUAACCUUGUUAGAAACUUGAAAGUUGAAGGUUAUUGGUAAAGAAGUUCUUCAAUCACCCAUCUAUGGCUUCAAUCGAAAAUGAAAAGUUGAGUGUACCCAAAUGAAAGAGUGAUUCUUACUGCAAUGAAGAAGAGAAGAAACGCAACAGAUCAGAGAAUUAUUAAUAAUGACAAAGAAAGAAAAGAGAAACAAAUUCUGGAAAAAAAAAAUUAACCUUGUUAGAAACUUGAAAGUUGAAGGUUAUUGGUAAAGAAGUUCUUCAAUCACCCAUCUAUGGCUUCAAUCGAAAAUGAAAAGUUGAGUAUACCCAAAUGAAAGAGUGAUUCUCACUGCAAUGAAGAAGAGAAGAAAUCUG